rnacentral:rRNA from 1 species
GGAUGUUAGCGGCGGACGGGUGAGUAACACGUGGGUAACCUGCCUGUAAGACUGGGAUAACUCCGGGAAACCGGAGCUAAUACCGGAUAGUUCCUUGAACCGCAUGGUUCAAGGAUGAAAGACGGUUUCGGCUGUCACUUACAGAUGGACCCGCGGCGCAUUAGCUAGUUGGUGAGGUAACGGCUCACCAAGGCGACGAUGCGUAGCCGACCUGAGAGGGUGAUCGGCCACACUGGGACUGAGACACGGCCCAGACUCCUACGGGAGGCAGCAGUAGGGAAUCUUCCGCAAUGGACGAAAGUCUGACGGAGCAACGCCGCGUGAGUGAUGAAGGUUUUCGGAUCGUAAAGCUCUGUUGUUAGGGAAGAACAAGUGCAAGAGUAACUGCUUGCACCUUGACGGUACCUAACCAGAAAGCCACGGCUAACUACGUGCCAGCAGCCGCGGUAAUACGUAGGUGGCAAGCGUUGUCCGGAAUUAUUGGGCGUAAAGGGCUCGCAGGCGGUUUCUUAAGUCUGAUGUGAAAGCCCCCGGCUCAACCGGGGAGGGUCAUUGGAAACUGGGAAACUUGAGUGCAGAAGAGGAGAGUGGAAUUCCACGUGUAGCGGUGAAAUGCGAAGAGAUGUGGAGGAACACCAGUGGCGAAGGCGACUCUCUGGUCUGUAACUGACGCUGAGGAGCGAAAGCGUGG